CGUGGCUGAGAGGUCUAAGGUGCUGGAUUGAGGCUCCAGUCUCUUUGGGGGCAUGGGUUUGAAUUCCAUCACUGCCA
rnacentral:tRNA from 1 species